rnacentral:rRNA from 1 species
UAAGGAAUCUUCCGCAAUGGGCGCAAGCCUGACGGAGCGACGCCGCGUGCAUGACGAAGCCCUUCGGGGUGUAAAAUGCUUUUCUGGGGGACGACACAAGACGGUACCCCAGGAAGAAGCCUCGGCUAACUACGUGCCAGCAGCCGCGGUAAUACGUAGGAGGCGAGCGUUGUCCGGAAUCACUGGGUGUAAAGCGCGUGUAGGCGGCCUGCCAAGUCUGCUGUGAAAGCGCCUGGCUUAACCGGGCGAGGUCGGUGGAAACUGGCGGGCUGGAGGACGGUAGAGGGGGGUGGAAUUCCCGGUGUAGUGGUGAAAUGCGUAGAGAUCGGGAGGAACACCAGUGGCGAAGGCGGCCCCCUGGGCCGUUCCUGACGCUGAGACGCGAAGGCGCGGGGAGCGAACGG